rnacentral:snoRNA from 1 species
AAUCCAUGGUGAGGACACCUACGUAGUAGGUCCUUGCAUCUCUUCCACGCAUCGUAAAGAGUUUCUAAGUCCAUCUGUGCAAAUGAAGAGAUAUCAUUAUGUAAUU